rnacentral:rRNA from 1 species
AUUGAACGCUGGCGGCAGGCCUAACACAUGCAAGUCGAAUGGUAACAGGAAACAGCUUGCUGUUUCGCUGACGAGUGGCGGACGGGUGAGUAAUGUCUGGGAAACUGCCUGAUGGAGGGGGAUAACUACUGGAAACGGUAGCUAAUACCGCAUAACGUCGCAAGACCAAAGAGGGGGACCUUCGGGCCUCUUGCCAUCAGAUGUGCCCAGAUGGGAUUAGCUAGUCGGUGGGGUAACGGCUCACCUAGGCGACGAUCCCUAGCUGGUCUGAGAGGAUGACCAGCCACACUGGAACUGAGACACGGUCCAGACUCCUACGGGAGGCAGCAGUGGGGAAUAUUGCACAAUGGGCGCAAGCCUGAUGCAGCCAUGCCGCGUGUAUGAAGAAGGCCUUCGGGUUGUAAAGUACUUUCAGCGGGGAGGAAGGGAGUAAAGUUAAUACCUUUGCUCAUUGACGUUACCCGCAGAAGAAGCACCGGCUAACUCCGUG